rnacentral:rRNA from 1 species
AUGCCGCGGUGAAUCCGUUCCCGGGCCUUGUACACACCGCCCGUCACACCACGAGAGUGAGCAACACCCGAAGUCGGUGAGGCAACCGGAUAGGAGCCAGCCGCCGAAGGUGGGGCUCGCGAUUGGGGUGAAGUCGUAACAAGGUAGCCGUAUCGGAAGGUGCGGCUGGAUCACCUCCUUUCU